rnacentral:lncRNA from 1 species
AUGUGUGUCUGUGGGCCUCUAUGGGGUCCUUGGGGUCUCUAUGGGGUCUCUAUGGGUCCCUAUAGGGUCCCUAUGGGUCCCUAUGGGGUCUCUAUGGGGUCUCCAUGGGUCUCUAUGGGUCCCUAUGUGUCCCUAUUGGUCCCUGUGUGUCCCUAUGGGUCCCUGUGGGUCCCUAUGGGUCCCAGUGGGUCCCUAUGGGGUCUGCCUAUGGGGUCUCUAUGGGUCUCUAUGGGGUCUCUAUGGGUUUCUAUGGGGUCUCUCUAUGGGUCUCUGUGGGUAUCUAUGGGUCCCUACGGGUCCUAUGUGUCCCUAUGUGCCCCUAUGGGUCCCUAUGGUCCCUAUGUGUCCCUAAGUGUCCGUAUGGUCCCUAUGGGUCCCUAUGGGUCUCUCUGGGUCCCUAUGGUCCCUAUGGUCCCUAUGUGUCCCUGUGUGUCCCUAUGGUCCCAAUGUGCCCCUAUGGUCCCUAUGUGUCCCUAUGGUCCCUGUGUGUCCCUAUUCCCUCUGUGUCCCUGUGUGUCCCUAUGGUCCCUAUGGUCCUUAUGGUCCCUCUGUGCCCCUAUGGUCCCCAUGUGUCCCUAUGGUCCCUAUGGUCCCUAUGGUCCCCAUGUGCCCCUAUGGUCCCCAUGUGUCCCUAUGGUCCCUAUGGUCCCUCUGUGCCCCUACGUGUCCCUAUGGUCCCUAUGGUCCCUAUGGUCGCUAUGGUCCCCAUGUGUCCCUAUGGUCCCUAUGUUCCCUAUGGUCCCCAUGUGCCCCUAUGGUCCCUGUGUGCCCCUAUGUGCCCCUAUGGUCCCUAUGGUCCCCAUGUGUCCCUAUGGGCCCUAUGGUCCCUAUGUUCCCUAUGGUCCCUAUGGUCCCUAUGAUCCCUAUGGUCCCCAUGUGCCCCUAUGGUCCCCAUGUGCCCUAUGGUCCCCAUGUGCCCCUAUGGUCCCUAUGGUCCCUAUGGUCCCCAUGUGCCCCUAUGGUCCCUAUGGUCCCUAUGGUCCCUAUGUGCCCCUAUGGUCCCUAUGGUCCCUAUGUUCCCUAUGUGCCCCUAUGAUCCCUAUGGUCCCUAUGUUCCCUAUGGUCCCCAUGUGUCCCUAUGGUCCCUAUGGUCCCUAUGUUCCCUAUGGUCCCCAUGUGUCCCUAUGGUCCCUAUGGUCCCUAUGGUCCCUAUGGUCCCUAUGGGCCCCUAUGUGUCCCCAUGUGUCCCUAUGGUCCCUAUGGUCCCUAUGGUCCCUAUGUUCCCUAUGGUCCCCGCGGUCCCCGCGCCGCCCCGCCCACCCGCCGUGUCCCGCAGGCGCCCCCGCUGGCGCUGCACGCCGCCGUGCCGUCGGACGGGACGCUGCUCGUCUUCGGCGGGCGCGGCGCCUUCGGGGAGGAUCGCAGUGA